rnacentral:rRNA from 1 species
UACGUAGGGUGCGAGCGUUAAUCGGAAUUCCUGGGCGUAAAGUGUGCGCAGGCGGCGGAGCAAGUCGAGUGUGAAAGCCCCGGGCUUAACUUGGGAAUUGCGCUCGAAACUACUUUGCUGGAGUGUGGCAGAGGAAGGUGGAAUUCCACGUGUAGCGGUGAAAUGCGUAGAGAUGUGGAGGAACACCAAUGGCGAAGGCAGCCUUCUGGGCCAACACUGACGCUCAUGCACGAAAGCGUGGGGAGCAAACAGG